CAACAACAACGUGUGCUCUUGGGGGUACUGGAGGAGGAAAACACUGAUCUAGAUGACUGAUAAAUCUUCCAGCCAACUCUGAGAACAGUGAGAUGUUUCUGAAGGUUCAUUGAGUUUGGAGCAUGCUUCAUGGAUUGCAUCAGAGACGCCACUGUGCCCAUUUUACAGUGGCCCGACUGACCCUGUGCAGAACAUGUCCAUCUGUCUGGGAGCCAAC